UACGUAGGGUGCAAGCGUUGUCCGGAAUUAUUGGGCGUAAAGAGCUCGUAGGCGGUUUGUCGCGUCGGGAGUGAAAACUCAGGGCUCAACCCUGAGCGUGCUUCCGAUACGGGCAGACUAGAGGUAUUCAGGGGAGAACGGAAUUCCUGGUGUAGCGGUGAAAUGCGCAGAUAUCAGGAGGAACACCAGCGGCGAAGGCGGCGCUCUGGGCCGGUACUGACGCUGAGGAGCGAAAGCGUGGGGAGCAAACAGG
rnacentral:rRNA from 1 species